GCGCACAACCGCGUCCACUUUACUCCCUCAGCGCCGGGACCCUGCCGAAACCUGGCUGCGUGGAGCAGGGCGGAAGGGGAGGGCUGAGAUCGAGGGGGAGUGGCUUGGCAUUGAGGGCGGGGACUCGGACCUGCAGUUGAAGGUGCUCCACCUCUGCGCCACCGCGUGUUCCCGGUGUUCGCAGUUGCCCCUGGCAGAGUUUAAAGAGGACACUGAUAGAUUGGCUGCAUUUGCCUAGCCGCUGCUUUUGGACAUGGAGUGUUUGAUUGUGCCUCCCUGUGUGCUCAGAGAAACUCGAGUGAAACUCCACAGCUCCAUGACGGCAACGCAGUUGGCAGCCGAGGCUGGAGUGAUGGAUUACAGCCUUUGGCAGCGGUUGAGGCAGGGUGGUGAGUCUGGCGCCAAGGUGAAAUCCUCCAACAAAAGCCAGAACAUGAGAUAGAAAGCUAGGCCCUGCCAGUCCACCAAAACGACCUGGAAAGAGCCUGAACAUCCUGUCAGUAUAACGAGGAGGCUCAGGGCCAGCCUUGCUUCAGGAGCAGUCUCCAGUCUCCUAAGACAAAUGCUUGUUUGGCAUGGAACCCUGAAUUUUAUCCCCAUUAUCACAUAAGCUGGGCAUGAUGAAACACACUUGUAACCCCAGUACCUAGGAGGCAAAGGCUGGACUAGAAGGUCUAGGUCAUCAUUGGCUAUGUAGUGAAUUUGAGGCCAACAUGGAAUAUGUGAAAGUCUCUCUAAAACAAAACAAGCAAAACAAAACCACACACAGACACAGACACAGAGAGACACACAUACACAGAAACUGCAUGUGUGUGGUGGGCAUAGUGAUACACACCUAUAAAUAAAAUUGGAAGGUUGAAGCAGAAGGGUUGCUGUGAGUUCAAGACCAGCCUGGAUUCUACAGUACAGGACUAAGAGUAAGACUCUAAAAUUAAACAAAAGCAAACAAAUGAAAGAGUGAAAUUGACAGCAUAGAUGCCCUCACCUGUCUCCGUCCUGCUGGGAACUUAUUCCUAGCUUUUUACACACACACACACACCCGUGUUGAUAUGACUGCUGUCUUCUGAAGCAGAUACCCAGUGUUGCCUCUUAAAUACACAUCCCAAGGAUGGGUUUUUGAGAGGUUUACAAUCCUUCCUGAUGUUGCUGACAGUUUUCCUAAGUGAGUCUCCCAGUUUACACACCACUAAGGACCUGUAUGUUCUUCUCCAGUAUACAUACAUGAAAUCUCAGUGGAGUCUGAUUUGUUUUUCCAAAGUGGAAAAUCAUUUUUGUUUGUUGGACAACCAUGAUGCCUCAGUGACCUAAGGGGAUGAAGCCAGCUUACACUGGGAAAGCCCCACCCAUCUUCCUCAGUAUCGUAAGUUAAUAAUAACCUCAUCCCGAAACACUGUCACAGAAACACCCAGAUCAUGUUUGCCCAAAGAUAUCGCACUCGGGGCUCAGUUAAGUUGGCAUCUUAAAUAAACGAUUGCAAGCCAUCUCUCACCUUCAGAGUGUGUGCUGUGUC